rnacentral:lncRNA from 1 species
ACCAACAUGCACACUCACACCAACAUGCACACUCACACCAACAUGCACACACCCUUACACCAAUAUGCACACAUACACCAACAUGCACACACCAACAUGCACACUCACACCAACAUGCACACACACCAACGUGCACACUCGCACCAACAUGCACACACACCAUGCACUCACACCAACAUGCAUACAUACACCAACGUGCACUCACACCAACAUGCACACUCACACCAACAUGCACACCAACAUGCACAUACACCUACACACAUACACCAACAUGCACACUCACACCAACAUUCACACACAUGCACACACACCAACAUGCACACACAACAUGCACACUCACACCAACAUGCACACACACCAACAUGCACACACAUGCACACUCACACCAACAUGCACACACACCAACAUGCACACAUACACCAACAUGCACACUCACACCAACAUGCACACAUACACCAUACACACCAAUAUGCACACACUCAAAACACACCAAUAUGCACACAUACCAACAGGCACACACACACCAACAUGCACACAUACACACCAAUAUGCACACACUUAUACCAACAUGCAUACACACACC